GAGUUUGAUCGUGGCUCAGGACGAACGCUGGCGGCGUGCCUAAUACAUGCAAGUCGAGCGAGGGUUUUUAAGACCCUAGCGGCGGACGGGUGAGUAACACGUAGGCAACCUGCCUCUCAGACCGGGAUAACAUAGGGAAACUUAUGCUAAUACCGGAUAGGUCUUUGGAUUGCAUGAUCCGAAAAGAAAAGAUGGCUUUUUGCUAUCACUGGGAGAUGGGCCUGCGGCGCAUUAGCUAGUUGGUGGGUAACGGCUACCAAGGCGACGAUGCGUAGCCGACCUGAGAGGGUGACCGGCCACACUGGGACUGAGACACGGCCAGACUCCUACGGGA
rnacentral:rRNA from 1 species